AUACUUCACCUGGCAGGAGAGAGACCAUGAAGGUGGUUCUCCCAGAAUGAGGUUAUCCCAUUGCACGUGGGGUGUGUUGAUGCCUACAAUUUCCCGAAGUGAGAUACUUGACUGCAAAAUUUGUGGUAGUGAGGACUGCGUUCGUGCUGUGAGGUUCUUU